GACGAACGCUGGCGGCGUGCCUAAUACAUGCAAGUAGAACGCAGUUGCGAACGGGUGAGUAACGCGUAGGUAACUGCCUCAUAGCGGGGGAUAACGAUUGGAAACGAUAGCUAAUACCGCAUACAGUGAGAUGGACCUGAGUUGUAUUAGCUAGUUGGUGAGGUAAAGGCUCACCAAGGCGACGAUACAUAGCCGACCUGAGAGGGUGAUCGGCCACAACGGGACAUGGGCACAGCCCAGACUCCUUCGGGUGGCAGCACUGGGGGAUCUUCGGUAAUGGACGGAAGUCUGGCCGAGCGACGGCGCGUGAGUGAAGAAGGUUUUCGGAUUGUAAAGCUCUGUUGUUAGAGAAGCGGUAACUAUCCAGAAAGGGACGGCUAACUACGUGCCAGCAGCCGCGGUAAUAC
rnacentral:rRNA from 1 species